rnacentral:rRNA from 1 species
UACGAAGGGGGCUAGCGUUGCUCGGAAUCACUGGGCGUAAAGCGCACGUAGGCGGCUUUCUAAGUCAGGGGUGAAAUCCUGGAGCUCAACUCCAGAACUGCCUUUGAUACUGGGAAGCUCGAGUCCGGAAGAGGUGAGUGGAACUCCGAGUGUAGAGGUGAAAUUCGUAGAUAUUCGGAAGAACACCAGUGGCGAAGGCGGCUCACUGGUCCGGUACUGACGCUGAGGUGCGAAAGCGUGGGGAGCAAGCAGG